rnacentral:lncRNA from 1 species
GAUUGAGAAAACCUCAAUCGGCCCAACCGGGGAUCAAACCCAGACUAAAUUGAUUACUAUGAACAGACCAUUACGAUGAACCACUGAUAUUGAUACAGAGACAUGAAGAUGAGUGCUUUGACAACAAGACUGACUAACUGAGCCAGCUUUAAGAAUUAUGUGGUGUGUGCUGUGUGUGUGUAAUCCCAGGAGCUCUCUAUGUCAGCCAUCCAUCUAUAUUCUUACUCAUUUUUGUUAAUUAUAAAAUAAAUUUGAUUAUUUAGUAUGUAACUUCAUUGUACCUAUCCUGUGAUUGACUGAAGCUGUUAGAAAGGUUGCAUCUGUAAUAAUUUAUUUA